UUGUCCGGAUUUACUGGGCGUAAAGAGCGCGCAGGCGGUCGUACAAGUCGCGUGUGAAAGCCCCCGGCUCAACUGGGGAGGGUCACGCGAUACUGUUCGACUCGAAGGCAGGAGAGGGAAGCAGAAUUCCCGGUGUAGUGGUGAAAUGCGUAGAUAUCGGGAGGAAUACCAGUGGCGAAGGCGGCUUCCUGGCCUGUUCUUGACGCUGAGGCGCGAAAGCUAGGGUAGCAAACGGG
rnacentral:rRNA from 1 species